rnacentral:rRNA from 1 species
UACGUAGGGUGCGAGCGUUGUCCGGAAUUAUUGGGCGUAAAGAGCUCGUAGGCGGUCUGUCGCGUCUGCUGUGAAAACUCAGGGCUUAACCCUGAGCUUGCAGUGGGUACGGGCAGACUAGAGUGCGGUAGGGGAGACUGGAAUUCCUGGUGUAGCGGUGAAAUGCGCAGAUAUCAGGAGGAACACCGGUGGCGAAGGCGGGUCUCUGGGCCGUAACUGACGCUGGAGGAAGCGAAAGCAUGGGGAGCGAACAGG